rnacentral:sRNA from 1 species
CUUUAGCCCUGAUCGAAACGGCAUCCUUUGCUUUUUUCUUUAAAAAAGCAAAGAUAUAGUGAAGAGCAGGUCCCAUG